GGCAAUGUGGCUUAGUGGUAGAGUGCUUGCCUAGGAUGCAUGAAGCCCUGGGUUCAAUUCCUUUAGUACCA
rnacentral:tRNA from 1 species